rnacentral:lncRNA from 1 species
UACAACUAUACCUAAUGUAGAAUAGAAAUUAAAAUACAAUAAUAAAAUUCACAAGUACAAUAAUUAUUUAAAAUUACAUCUUUACAUAGAGAUGACUGCUUAAUUCCACAUAGAUUGUCGCGCUUGAUCAUAUGGCAUACUGUCAGUUGCAGAUACAAGAUUUAUAUGACAAUGUUGAUAUAAGUAUUGCUGGUAUUGUGAGAAAGUCAUAUUCCCGAUAUACGUCAUUGUAUUCUCGGAGAUAACUUGCAUAUGCAACUGGAUCGUGGAUAUAAUGGACAACAGUCAUCUGUGGCAUAUAAACUGAAGCAUCAUAAGGAUAUGGAUUGUAUGGAAAAGAAGAACCAUAAUGUGGAUAUGCAUGAGUGGAUGUAGAUUCGCCGUAUGAGCUUUCACUAUGUCCAGGGAUGGAUUGGGAUUCACUCUGAGUGCCAUAAAUUGAUGAAGCAUAAUCAAAUAUCUCUCCAUAUAGACCAUGUCGAUAUGAGGGAUGCGAUGAUAUUGAAGUACUAUCAAACUGUGUUUGCAAAGUAUCAUCCCUUCGUGAAGGUCUAGUUGAUAUUGCCUCCAAACCUUCUCUUAUCUCCCCAUAAUCUUGUUGUGAGGACCUCUUAUCUUUUCGACGGUUAUAUACCACUCCGGAUGUUUGACGUGGUCGAGACCCAUGAUCAGCAUCUUGAGUGACAUGUGUGAAAUUUUACUCUUCAGUAAAUAUAAGGCCACCACCACCUCCACUCUCCUGUUGUGUUGGUGGAAUGAAGUCGCCACCAUCCUCACUGCUAUUAGUGAUAUCAUCAUCAUCACUACAUUCAUCUUUAGACUGUGGUAAUCCAGAAUCUGUUGGUGUCGAUGUAUCACUAUCAUCAUCUUGUGGGAGUGCAUCAGCUGCAUCUAAUGGAU